rnacentral:rRNA from 1 species
GUGGGGAAUAUUGGACAAUGGGCGCAAGUCUGAUCCAGCCAUGCCGCGUGUGUGAAGAAGGCCUUCGGGUUGUAAAGCACUUUUGUCCGGGAAGAAAUCUUCCAGGUUAAUACCCUGGGAGGCUGACGGUACCGGAAGAAUAAGCACCGGCUAACUUCGUGCCAGCAGCCGCGGUAAUACGAAGGGUGCAAGCGUUACUCGGAAUUACUGGGCGUAAAGCGUGCGUAGGUGGUUCGUUAAGUCUGCCGUGAAAGCGCCGGGCUCAACCUGGGAAUGGCGGUGGAUACUGGCGGGCUAGAGUGCGGUAGAGGGUGGUGGAAUUCCCGGUGUAGCAGUGAAAUGCGUAGAGAUCGGGAGGAACAUCUGUGGCGAAGGCGGCCACCUGGACCAGCACUGACACUGAGGCACGAAAGCGUGGGGAGCAAACAGGAUUAGAUACCCCGGUAGUCC